rnacentral:rRNA from 1 species
UACGAAGGGGGCUAGCGUUGCUCGGAAUGACUGGGCGUAAAGGGCGCGUAGGCGGCUCAUACAGUCAGGCGUGAAAGCCCCGGGCUCAACCUGGGAGGUGCGCUUGAUACUCGAGGGCUUGAGUGCGGGAGAGGAGAGUGGAAUUCCCAGUGUAGAGGUGAAAUUCGUAGAUAUUGGGAAGAACACCGGUGGCGAAGGCGGCUCUCUGGACCGUAACUGACGCUGAGGCGCGAAAGCGUGGGGAGCAAACAGG